rnacentral:rRNA from 1 species
CCUACGGGUGGCAGCAGUGAGGAAUAUUGGUCAAUGGCCGGAAGGCUGAACCAGCCAUGCCGCGUGAAGGUCAGUGCCCUAUGGGCGUUAAACUUCUUUUGUGCGGGAGCAAUAAUGGUCACGUGUGGCCAGACGAGAGUACCGUACGAAUAAGCAUCGGCUAACUCCGUGCCAGCAGCCGCGGUAAUACGGGGGAUGCAAGCGUUAUCCGGAUUUAUUGGGUUUAAAGGGUGCGUAGGCUGUGAGGUAAGUCAGCGGUGAAAUGCCCCCGCUCAACGGGGUGAAGUGCCAUUGAUACUGCCUGGCUUGAAGGCGGAUGCCGGGGGAGGAAUGUGUGGUGUAGCGGUGAAAUGCAUAGAUAUCACACAGAACACCGAUUGCGAAGGCAUCUCACGAAUCCGCGAUUGACGCUGAUGCACGAAAGCGUGGGUAUCAAACAGGAUUAGAUACCCGGGUAGUC